GUAGCCCGAUGGGCCGGCGUGGCGAGCAGGAGCCGCGCCGGCCCGCGAGGGAACUUCCAGCCAAUGGGAGAGCGGCACGGCAGCGCCCGCCGGACGCUGGACACAGACGUGACCCCAGACCGCCUGGCCUUGGGUAGAUCGGGUCUCUGGGCAGAGCGUGUGUCCGGCAGAGCUAGGACCGGAAAAAGCCACUCUAGGUCUAGGUUAGGAGUGAUGACAGUUAAAAGAUAUAUAAGGAAAAGAAGGAAAGGAUCGUUUCUGUACAAAAGGAGCUAUUUUUGCAUAUCGAGCGCAUAAGUUUUAUAACUUAGGUGUCUGUUUAUGGAGAGGGUGGGAUACUACCUUUUAGCUCAAGGAGUGCACAAAACGGUAUCAUGAAUUCUGCUCUUUUGAUUCAAACACCCAACUUUGAAGAAUCGCUCAUGGUGCUUGUAAAACACAUAUCCCCAGAUCCCUCCCUAGACCUAUCGAACAACUCCAACGGUCUCGGGAAUGUGCGUGGUUUCUGAAAAGCUUGGGAAGCAAGACCUGACUAGACCCCCAAAUCUGAUAAUGGCUGAAUGGCCGACCAAUGGAGUGCAUAAGAAGUCUGGAUACAAAGGCAGCCCAAUUUCUAGAAAUGUAUACCAGCCAUGAAGAGAUAAAGCUCCAAGAGGAGAUUUCUCUUUCUGGUAUAAGGUUAAAAGGACUUCUGACUCAAACUCUGCCUCUUGAGUUCACAGUUCACCAUUUCCACCCUGGUGACUUGGUGCUGAUUAAGACUUGUUAAGAAGACAAGCUCCACCCAACCUGAGAAGGUCCCUAUGAAGUGCUCCUGACCACUAAGAUGGCCGUGCAAACGGCUGAACAGGGGUGGACUCACUGUACUCAAGUCAAGGGACUGGUAAAAGAGACCUCGGAAGGGAAGGAACAAGACCAGUGGAAAGUGCAUGGGUCACCUGUGCUACGGGAGGACCUCAGGCACAGGUGGUUCCAUUUCCCCUAGGAUGGGAUGCUGAUCCUGAAGAAACGGAUUGCAUGUUGGCUCUAUACCAGGACAAGGAUGCAUGGGGAAACAAGACUUGUAAAGAGUCUGUCACUGCUCUUUCCCACAUUGCAGAGGUCAGAUCCCAAAGCAAUCCCCUCAUUCUCUCUAGGGAAUAUGAACCACUCCUCUUGCCUCUCUAGAUAGGGGGCAGAGUUCAAUAAGCCCGUGGGAAAACUCUCAACUUGUACGCACAUCCUAAACAUCACUGGUAAGUCAGGCGAUGGCAAUCACUCGGCUCUCCAUAUACCCCAGGCUAACGUCUGGUGGUACUGUGGGAAAAGGAACCUCCCCAACUUGUUACCAUCCAACUGGACCGGGACUUGUGCUUUAGUCUAAUUGGCCAUUCCCUUCACCCUGGCAUUCCAUAAGAUACCUGAAAACACACACGGCCACUGAAAGCAGAGAGAUUUGACAAACUCUUUUAAUGUCAAUAUAUAUGUUGACUCAAUAGGAGUCCCUAGGGGAGUGCCGAAUAAAUUUAAGGCCCAAAACCACAUAGCUGCUGGGUUUGAGUCAGCACUCUUCUGUGGUCAACUAUUAAUAAGAAUGUGAACUAGAUUAACUACAUCUAUUAUAAUCAACAAAGAUUCAUCAAUUAUACUCAGGACACCCUCAAAGGGAUGGCUAGCCAGUUAGAUGCCACCAGCCCAAUGGCCUGGAAAAACAGGCUUGCACUAGACGUAAUACCAGAAAAAGGGGGUGUAAGUGUUAUGCUGGGUGGGAAACGUUAUACUUUCAUUCCCAACAAUACUGCCCCAGAUGGGACCAUCACAAAAGCUUUACAAGGACUGACAACUCUAGCCAACGAACAGGCAGAAAAUGCUGGAAUUAACAACCCAUUUACGGGUUGGCUAAAUGGUUGGUUUGGAAAAUGGAAAGGCAUGGUGGCUUCAAUCCUUACAUCUCUCAUAAUUGUAGCAGGAGUCUUAGCAGUGGGAUGUAGUAUUACUUGUGUGUGAGGGGACUAGCACAGAGAUUAAUUAAAAGAGCUAUUAAUAAACAAUGCCAAUAAGUUACCAGCAAAAUAACCUGCUACUAUUAGAAACCAAAAUAAACUCACUCUCCUAUAAGGAAGAAAGUAAACGACUUCUAAAGCAAUUUGAGGAACAAAAGGGUUUAGAUGAAAAUGAGACCAAAGGAAGUAAAUAGAAAAGGAAGGAAAUUUGUGAGAAAACAUUUUAAGUGGUCCAUUUUCAAGGCAUAAUAAAUCUAAGUACUGGAAGCCAGCCUGUGGAUGUAACAAACCACACAGCUCAUGCACCCAGAAGGUCAUGAUAAGUGAACAGAAUGUAGAGGAGGGGUCAGCCCCUAAAAGGGGAGAAAGUUUCAUUAAUGGGAAAUCAAAACUGAAGUGGGGAAAGGGACCAGGGUAUAACCUUAUAAGGGGGAUAAUAAAACUUAGGCAAUGUCCAGGAAGAUUGUAACCCCAUAGUACUCAACCAAUGAGGAGCUGGGGGAGGGACUUGCGUGCUAGGAGAUAAAUUACCUGUUGUAACUGUCCCCGGUGUGACUGCCUACCAGACACCAGAUCUUGCAAGACCGCCAAUAAAAGUCUUGCUUCCGCUGUUC